UAACACAUGCAAGUCGAGGGGCAGCAUGGUCUUAUCUUGCUAAGGCCGAUGGCGACCGGCGCACGGGUGAGUAACACGUAUCCAACCUGCCGUCUACUCUUGGACAGCCUUCUGAAAGGAAGAUUAAUACAAGAUGGCAUCAUGAGUCCGCAUGUUCACAUGAUUAAAGGUAUUCCGGUAGACGAUGGGGAUGCGUUCCAUUAGAUAGUAGGCGGGGUAACGGCCCACCUAGUCUUCGAUGGAUAGGGGUUCUGAGAGGAAGGUCCCCCACAUUGGAACUGAGACACGGUCCAAACUCCUACGGGAGGCAGCAGUGAGGAAUAUUGGUCAAUGGGCGAGAGCCUGAACCAGCCAAGUAGCGUGAAGGAUGACUGCCCUAUGGGUUGUAAACUUCUUUUAUAAAGGAAUAAAGUCGGGUAUGGAUACCCGUUUGCAUGUACUUUAUGAAUAAGGAUCGGCUAACUCCGUGCCAGCAGCCGCGGUAAUACGGAGGAUCCGAGCGUUAUCCGGAUUUAUUGGGUUUAAAGGGAGCGUAGAUGGAUGUUUAAGUCAGUUGUGAAAGUUUGCGGCUCAACCGUAAAAUUGCAGUUGAUACUGGAUAUCUUGAGUGCAGUUGAGGCAGGCGGAAUUCGUGGUGUAGCGGUGAAAUGCUUAGAUAUCACGAAGAACUCCGAUUGCGAAGGCAGCCUGCUAAGCUGCAACUGACAUUGAGGCUCGAAAGUGUGGGUAUCAAACAGGAUUAGAUACCCUGGUAGUCCACACGGUAAACGAUGAAUACUCGCUGUUUGCGAUAUACUGCAAGCGGCCAAGCGAAAGCGUUAAGUAUUCCACCUGGGGAGUACGCCGGCAACGGUGAAACUCAAAGGAAUUGACGGGGGCCCGCACAAGCGGAGGAACAUGUGGUUUAAUUCGAUGAUACGCGAGGAACCUUACCCGGGCUUAAAUUGCAGAUGAAUUACGGUGAAAGCCGUAAGCCGCAAGGCAUCUGUGAAGGUGCUGCAUGGUUGUCGUCAGCUCGUGCCGUGAGGUGUCGGCUUAAGUGCCAUAACGAGCGCAACCCUUGUUGUCAGUUACUAACAGGUUCCGCUGAGGACUCUGACAAGACUGCCAUCGUAAGAUGUGAGGAAGGUGGGGAUGACGUCAAAUCAGCACGGCCCUUACGUCCGGGGCUACACACGUGUUACAAUGGGGGGUACAGAGGGCCGCUACCACGCGAGUGGAUGCCAAUCCCCAAAACCUCUCUCAGUUCGGACUGGAGUCUGCAACCCGACUCCACGAAGCUGGAUUCGCUAGUAAUCGCGCAUCAGCCACGGCGCGGUGAAUACGUUCCCGGGCCUUGUACACACCGCCCGUCAAGCCAUGGGAGCCGGGGGUACCUGAAGUGCGUAAGCGCGAGGAGCGCCCUAGGGUAAAACUGGUGACUGC
rnacentral:rRNA from 1 species